rnacentral:misc_RNA from 1 species
UUAACUAUUAUAUAGUACUCAGACAAUAUGAUUAAACAAGAGUUUUAGGUCCUCUGGCAGGCACUGACCAGCUAGAAGCCGGCGGUCAAGACGGGCCUGCCAAAGCAACAAAGGUAAUGUAAACAAAGGGUGGAGUAUUAGGGUAUUAACCCAUAAUGACUCUGUAAUGAUCCUUCCGCAGGUUCACCUACGGAAA